AGUAACUGGAAAGGCAGACAUUUAAAUUCAAUCCUGAGUAACCACGGCUGCUCUCUAGUGGGAUGUGUGUGCCUGUUGGGACUGCACAGGCUCUGAAGCCUUGGAAGCCGAUUGGACGACAUCUUAUUUCCUGUGCCAGGUUGACUUUCAGGUCAUUGUGUUUUGUUUUGUUUUUAUUCCAGGAACCACGGAAAACCCAGCUUGCAAAGAUAUGACAUCAUGGAAAGGAACGGCGUGCAGUUUAAUGCUGAAACUACCUGGAGCUAGCAGUUCACCAGGCAUCUGAGAGAGGUCAAGUCUCACUGACCACUUAUCCCCAUCUCCGUGCUGCUACUGGUUCAGCCACCGGCACCUUCACCUGGAUAAGGCCGUGGCCUUCUCACUGGUGCCCUGCUUCUGCCUGGUCUAUUCUCAGCCCAGCAGCCAGAGGGAUCGUCUUCAAAUGUGGAAGUAUAUGUGAAGCCUUCUCAAAGAGAGACACAUCCAACAUCAACAUGGACUCUAUGAGGGCCAAGGAUGGUUCAAGAGAUUUGGAAAGACCCAUCUAAACCCCACUCCACAAAGAAGGCUUCUGGGAGCAUUCCAAAGAAUC